GGCAGGGAUCACUGCAAGAAGAGAGGUUGCUUGCUUUACAUCCAUCUGGCCUAAGAAAAGGAGGCAUGGAAACUCAAGGCAAGAUAUCCAGGGUACUCAAAACUGGCUUAACAGUGUACUCCUCUAUACUGUGGCAACUGGGGAUUUCAACAGGCUGUCACCAGCAUUUGGGCAGGAGACCCAGAGAGAUGUCACAUCACCUCCCCAGCAGCAGUUCCAUAAGCCUCCCAUAAGUGCCUACAGAACCAUAAUGUUAGGAGCAGCACACACCACCACAUAACACCAUCAGAGGCUGAGGGUUGGAAACAAGCGUUCUGGACGUCAGUUUCCUUUGAAGCACCCCACGACCACUCAUCAGAGUGACCCUCCAAAUCACAACUGCAUCUCCCCCUCACCAGCCUGAUGCUCUGCAGGCACGAGCCAGUAAUAUAUUACCUAAAUUCACUCACCGCUGCGAGUCAACUGCUCAAACAUCUAAAUAAGCAACCUAAGGGGAAUUCUAAUGGCUCAUCAGUUUUAUGCAGCAGAGGAAUUUGCCGACUUAGAUCACGCAAAUCUUGCCGGACCUCUACUCCAAAGGACCUUACACUCGUGCCUUUAAGACAAAGAAGGUUCACAUCCAACUGUAAGGCAGACAAUAACUUCCAGGCGAAAAAAAAAAAAAAAAAAAAAAAAAGGGGGGGGGGGGGGGGGGGGGGGGGGGGGGGGGGGGGGGGGGGGGGGGGGGGGGGGGGGGGGGGGGGGGGGGGGGGGGGGGGGGGGGGGGGGGGGGGGGGGAAAAAAAAAAAAAAAAAAAAAAAAAAAGGCAGGCAUGAGUAACUCGUUUCCCCAGCUGUCUGAGUGAGGGGCAGGCCUGCAGGGAGCACGGCGUCCCCGAGCAGCCGGAGCAGCGCUCGGCCACCGAGCCGCAUUUCUCACCGUGUCCUGCACCAAUCCAGAGAGCAGAUUAUGGAAACAGAACAGGCGCUAAAAGCGAGCUGGGGGGAGGACGGCGGGGGGAAGGGGGGAGGGGGGGGGGGGGGGGGGGGGGGGGGGGGGGGGGGGGGGGGGGGGGGGGGGGGGGGGGGGGGGGGGGGGGGGGG
rnacentral:lncRNA from 1 species